rnacentral:rRNA from 1 species
GAUGAACGCUGGCGGCGUGCCUAAUACAUGCAAGUCGAGCGAACGGACGAGAAGCUUGCUUCUCUGAUGUUAGCGGCGGACGGGUGAGUAACACGUGGAUAACCUACCUAUAAGACUGGGAUAACUUCGGGAAACCGGAGCUAAUACCGGAUAAUAUUUUGAACCGCAUGGUUCAAAAGUGAAAGACGGUCUUGCUGUCACUUAUAGAUGGAUCCGCGCUGCAUUAGCUAGUUGGUAAGGUAACGGCUUACCAAGGCAACGAUGCAUAGCCGACCUGAGAGGGUGAUCGGCCACACUGGAACUGGGACACGGUCCAGACUCCUACGGGAGGCAGCAUUAGGGAAUCUUCCGCAAUGGGCGAAAGCCUGACGGAGCAACGCCGCGUGAGUGAUGAAGUUCUUCGGAUCGUAAAACUCUGUUAUUAGGGAAGAACAUAUGUGUAAGUAACUGUGCACAUCUUGACGGUACCUAAUCAGAAAGCCACGGCUAACUACGUG